AGGGAAUCUUCCGCAAUGGACGCAAGUCUGACGGAGCAACGCCGCGUGAACGAUGAAGGCCUUCGGGUCGUAAAGUUCUGUUGUUAGGGAAGAACAAGUACCAUUCGAAUAGGGUGGUACCUUGACGGUACCUAACCAGAAAGCCACGGCUAACUACGUGCCAGCAGCCGCGGUAAUACGUAGGUGGCAAGUGUUGUCCGGAAUUAUUGGGCGUAAAGCGCGCGCAGGCGGUCUUUUAAGUCUGAUGUGAAAGCCCCCGGCUCAACCGGGGAGGGUCAUUGGAAACUGGGAGACUUGAGUGCAGAAGAGGAGAGUGGAAUUCCAUGUGUAGCGGUGAAAUGCGUAGAGAUAUGGAGGAACACCAGUGGCGAAGGCGACUCUCUGGUCUGUAACUGACGCUGAGGCGCGAAAGCGUGGGGAGCAAAC
rnacentral:rRNA from 1 species